UUUCCGGUUGAUCCUGCCGGAGGACAUUGCUAUUGGGAUUCGAUUUAGCCAUGCUAGUCGGACGAGUUUAGACUCGUGGCAGAUAGCUCAGUAACACGUGGCCAAGCUACCCUUCAGUCGGCAAUACCCUCGGGAAACUGAGGUUAACGGCCGAUGUGGGACGCCUGCUGGAAUGCGGCGUUCUCUAAAGGCGACGCUGAAGGAUGCGGCUGCGGCCGAUUAGGUUGACGGUGGGGUAACGGCCCACCGUGCCAGUAAUCGGUACGGGUGAUGAGAGUCAGAGCCCGGAGACGGAAUCUGAGACAAGAUUCCGGGCCCUACGGGGCGCAGCAGGCGCGAAACCUUUACACUGCACGGAAGUGCGAUAGGGGAAUCCCAAGUGCGAGGGCAUAUUCGCCCUCGCUUUUGUUGACCGUAAGGUGGUCAACGAAUAAGAGCUGGGCAAGACCGGUGCCAGCCGCCGCGGUAAUACCGGCAGCUCGAGUGAUGUCCAAUAUUAUUGGGCCUAAAGCGUCCGUAGCUGGCCGCGCAAGUCCGUCGGGAAAUCCACCUGCCCAACAGGUGGGCGUCCGGCGGAAACUGUGUGGCUUGGAACCGGAAGGCUCAGAGGGUACGUCCGGGUAGGAGUGAAAUCCCGUAAUCCCGGACGGACCACCGAUGGCGAAAGCACUCUGAGAAGACGGCUUCGACAGUGAGGGACGAAAGCUAGGGUCUCAAACCGGAUUAGAUACCCGGGUAGUCCUAGCCGUAAACGAUGUUCGCUAGGUGUGGCACUGGCUACGAGCCAGUGCUGCGCCGUAGGGAAGCCGAGAAGCGAACCGCCUGGGAAGUACGUCUGCAAGGAUGAAACUUAAAGGAAUUGGCGGGGGAGCACUACAACCGGAGGAGCCUGCGGUUUAAUUGGAUUCAACGCCGGGA
rnacentral:rRNA from 1 species